UAUAGAAAUUAGCUUUUGAAUAAGCAGGUAGCUCCUGAGAAUAAGCAUAAAGCUCAUCUGAUUUGAGUAAAUAAUGGGACAGGUGUACGUUGGAGGAGAUUUGGGUGAAGUUAUAAAAAUCCAGAAAGUAUCGGUAGGAGGUACGCAUGGCACCUCCGGGACAGGGGACGUCUCGGGAGAUAGAAA